GCUAGUGGGGUCUGCGGGAUGGGUUGUCACACAAAUGAUGUGGAUGAAGAUGAUAAUUAUGAGAAUCUAGCUGGAGAUCAUGAUUUAAGUAUCAACAAUGGAGACUUGCAUCAUGGAUAACUUUCAAAUUUUAAACGUGAUAGCCAGUUUCCGUAUCUAAAUCAUUGCCAGGGCUUCACCAAGAUCUCAUACUGCUCUCGAAAUUAUCCAUAGUCGGGGAAACUGUUGAGAAGCUUUAUCUUUGGGGACACUCAGCUUGUACGGUAGAUAAAGCAGAUCGAAAAGAGGUUAUUGUGUUUGGUGGGUUUGGAGGUUUUGGGAGACAUGCUCGAAGAAACGAGUUUUUAUUGCUCGAUCCUUCAAGUGGCACCUUAAAGUUGAUUGCAGUCAAUGAAUCUCCAACAGCACGGCUUGGCCACACAGCUUCAAUGGUUGGCGAUUUCAUGUUUGUAAUUGGAGGAAGGGCUGAUCCCUUGAACAUUUUGAAUGAUGUGUGGAGGCUCGAUAUAUUUCAUGUUUAUAUUAUUAUUUUCACUAUAUCUUUAUUCUAAAAACACCAAAAU